CCACAGAGAGAGAGUUAACUGAACGCACCUGAUCGCGUCUGAUCUCGGAAGCUAAGCAGGGUCGGGCCGGGCUCGUCCUCGGAUGGGAGACCGCCUGGGAAGACCGGCUGCUGUGGA
rnacentral:rRNA from 1 species